rnacentral:SRP_RNA from 1 species
GCCGAGUGUGGUGGUGCACACCUGUAAUCCCAGCUACCAGGGAGGCUGAGGCAGGAGAAUUGCUUGAACCCAGGAGGCGGAGGUUGCAGUGAGCCAAGAUUGCACCACUGCACUCCAGCCUGGGCUACAGAGCGAGACUCUGUCUCAA